AAUGAACGUUGGCGGUGUGCUUAACACAUGCAAGUCGAGCGAGAAAGUUUCUUCGGAAAUAAGUAGAGCGGCGAACGGGUGAGUAACGCGUGAGGAUCUACCCUUCAGUGAAGGAUACCCUUGAGAAAUUAAGGUUAAUACUGCAUACGUCCCUUUGUAACAAAAGGGAGAAAGAUGGCCUCUUGCUGUCGCUGAAAGAUGAACUUGCGUUCUAUUAGCUAGUUGGUGGGGUAAAGGCNCACCAAGGCGAUGAUGGAUAGCCGGCCUGAGAGGGUGAACGGCCACAUUGGAACUGAGAAACGGUCCAGACUCCUACGGGAGGCAGCAGUGAGGAAUAUUGCACAAUGGGCGAAAGCCUGAUGCAGCGACACCGCGUGAAGGAUGAAGGUCUUAGGAUUGUAAACUUCUGUUAAAGUGGGAAGAAAGACUUAACUCCAAAUAAGAGUAAGGGAUGACGUACACUAGAGAAAGCACCGGCUAACUUCGUGCCAGCAGCCG
rnacentral:rRNA from 1 species